CAGAAGCAGUUGCAGUUUGUUAGAUUGUGGUUUCCCAUAAUAAUCGUAGAAAAUGAUAAGAUUUUCAAGAAAAAAAAACAUAAGGAAUCAAAUCAAGUAAAUAAAUAGAGGAGAUAAAUAAAAUUGUUCUGUGUAAAAUUAUUUAGUUUCUGUGACACCAAUGAAUUGCUGAUGGUUUUACUUUAUUUUUAAGGUGGAAAGGCCCUAGCCGAUGGCACAAGCCAGUGGACUGGGUUCAAAUUGAAAGGAAACGACAUGACAAGGAAAGAACAUUGGAAGAGCACAAGAAGCUGGUGGGAGAAAUCCUAAAACGUGACC